UGGGCAACCUGCCCCAUAGAGGGGGACAACAGCUGGAAACGGCUGCUAAUACCGCAUAACAAGGAGAGAGCGCAUGUUCUUUUCUUCAAAGAUUUAUCGCUAUGGGAUGGACCCGCGUCUGAUUAGCUAGUUGGUGAGGUAACGGCUCACCAAGGCGACGAUCAGUAGCCGGCUUGAGAGAGUGAACGGCCACAUUGGGACUGAGACACGGCCCAGACUCCUACGGAAGGCAGCAG
rnacentral:rRNA from 1 species